rnacentral:lncRNA from 1 species
AAUUAACUUCCGCAUACCGUCCUUUGCUCGCGCUGAAAUUGCAGCUUGUAAACAAACUAUCUGCUCUUAAAAACAAAGGAGACUGGGGAAAAAACAUGAACCACAAAGCCAUGGUAAGAAAAUAUAAAGCUUUUGCUUAAGUGGUACUCUGGACUACUUGAUCGCAUAUUCGUAUUGCUGAAAAUUUCGAUAUGUAGACCAAAAAUACAGCCAAGGAAAUGCCCUUUGUCGGUUCAGGAAACAGAGAACCAAGCCUACAACUUCUACUUAAUAGCAAUAUAGGAAGAUUCCAGGCGUAUAACAAUGUCUGUUUGGAAUAUUUAACACGCUAACCAAUCGUAGAAGACUGGAGAUGGAUUUUAACUAAGCCAAAGAAAAUGGAAUAGCAUCGGUUGGAGAAAGCAAUCUCCAAACGUAGUGGAGCUCAACAAUAUACAGGUAUUUGUACCCAUGAUGUCGUGUAGAAAGAUUUCUUCAGGAAGCGGACUUUGGGAAAUUUAAGCAUACAAGCCACAACUACACAAGUUACCUCUAUUUUGGUUCAACACACAGUUUGACUCUUGCAUUGUAUCUGGUCAUUUAGAGGGCUACCUGCUUUCAUGAUUGAAUUUCGUAGAUAAAACCAGCUCUUGAUUCUUGCAUCCAGCUUUUACACACAAACCUUCAUUCAACUGCAGUGCAAAAAACUGCUUCUCAAGGAAUGAUGCAAAACUGUGAUGACAGAUUAAGAUCAUUUGCAUAUGAGUUGAGUAUAAAGGUCCACUCCUUUUGGCUACAGCUGACUUUGCAAAAGCCUCACUUAGUGGAUGGGACAGCCUUAUAGGAUGUAGGAGAGAGUCUGAUCUCCAUGGCCUCACUUCCUAUUGGCAAUGCAUACAGUUUUUGUCUUUUCUGAUGUGCAAAAAAAAAAAAAAAAAAAAUUCUGCUUCUCAAGGAAUGAUGCAAAACUGAGAUGACAGAUUAAGAUCAUUUGCAUAUGAGUUGAGUAAAAGGUCCACUCCUUUUGGCUACAGCUGGCUUUGCAAAUGCCUCACUUUGUGAUGGGACAGCCUUAUAGGAUGUAGGAGAGAGUCUGUUGUCCAUGGCCUUCACUUCCUUUUGGCAAUACAUACAGUUUUCAUCUUUUCUAAUGUGGAAAAAAAAUACUGCUUCUCAAGGAAUGAUGCAAAACUGAGAUGACAGAUUAAGAUCAUUUGCAUAUGAAUUGAGUGUACAAAGGUUCACUCCUUUUGGCUACAGCUGGCUUUGCAAAUGCCUCACUUUGUGGAUGGGACAGCCUUAUAGGAUGUAGGAUAGAGUCUGAUCUCCAUGGCCUCACUUCCUUUUGGCAAUACGUACAGUUUUUAUCUUCUCUGAUGUGAGCCUAGUCCACAGUACCCCAUGUGAUGGUGAUACAUAAAGGAUCUGACGGUCUCAUGUCAACUUUUGAUUCACCAUUCAGACUGAUUAAGUCUCCUCCAACAUCUGAGUCUUGACGCACUUAUUAAAAUAUGAGAACAACUUAUAUUUUUAUGAGAAUUCUGGAUAAAAAUAUUAAAUAAUUGUGGCAAUGUAGGGCUUCAAAAUAAAGCCUUAUGAGAUAUAAAAGAUUCUAUAAACUGCUCACAAGAUUGUGGAUAAGCUGCUGAUAUUCUGCUUUUACUCAGAAGUGAGUAGUGGAUGAAAAAUUUAGCGUUUAGUUUAAAAUAACCAGCUCCUUAAUUCUUGGGUCAGUUCUUCAAAUGCAGAUGAGCUUAUAACCAGGAAAAAAGUGUACUUCUGCUUCAUCAUGAAAUCAAAUCACAAAAAGUCACAUUUGUGGAAUUAUCUGAAGUAAUUGGACCAGAUCCUCACAAUGGAAGUUGUUACAUAGUUGUAUGCCUUGGGGAAGUUGAAAUCUGAUGUGCACCCCUUUUGUUGAUUGCUGAAAUCUUUUGACUAGAUGGCUGUUUAUGGUCAUGAACACGUGGGCAUUGUCUCAUUGACCCAUGCUGGACCUUUCAGUAUGAAAAGCUAUUGCCCAUAAUCCCAUGUUAACAGUUUGAUCUAGGAGUUUAUUUCCCUAGUUUUCAUGCUUCCUAAGAUUACCCACUAGGCAGCAGGACCAUUACCUGUGGCAUGGGGAAUGGAUCAUUUUAUAGGGGGAACUUAUUUUUCCCCACUGGAGUGAACAAGUUGACACUGUAUCACUCACCCACUGGGGCACCCAGUAAUUUGUAGCAAAUUUAACCUACUGAAAUCUAUCUUACCAUCAUAGAACAUUGAAUUCAUCCCUAGUCUCCUUGGAUAUUGGCUAUAGUUACAUGCUCUUUUUGAUGGGACCUUCAUACAAUACAACCACAAACAAAGAGGGUCAGAGUUAUUGGUAAAGAGUUAUCAGUUACCCCAAUGAAAUGGAAUAAUUAAGGACUAGGAAGCUGAUGAUGAUGACUCAAAAUGAUGAAGAGUAAGAUCUGAUAAUGCUUUCAGCUCACUGGGCUGUGCAAAGUUGACAGAGGGUUAAUAAUGACUUAGAUUGUGUUCUUCUUAGAUGUACUAAAUUCACAAAAAAGAAAGUUUAUGAACACAUAAUCCUCAGAGCCACACCUGGAUAAAAAAAUGCACAGAAACUAAGAAUUCAACAAGCUAAAAUGAUAUCUAGAAACCAUCAAAAUCAUUCUUGAGGAAGAGUACUUGAAAACCAUGAGAAGGAUUACUAAAGGAUGAGAAAUUUCAAAGGCAGCAAAAAGAGAAAACCUGAGGUAGAAGCCAACUUGAAACAUAGACGAGAAUUAAAGUUUGAAAAAUAAAUGACAACAGUAAAUCUAUUUAGCACAGGUGAAGCCACUUUACAGGUGUGGGCAUGACUAGCAGCAAAAAAAUAAAACAAUAUAUUGAGAAAACUGACAUAAGGAUACAGCAUCUAGUAAAAGUCUGCCAGUUGAAGAAAAAAUAGAAAGUGAGCAGGUAAAAAAAUAGUCACCUCAUUGUGUGGAAUUUGGCAUAUCAACCCAACAAACUCUACAUUAACCCUUCGACAUAAAGUGAAAACAUUUUCAAAGAUCAUUCUUGACAAAAGGGCUGCUUGAAGUGAAGAGCUGAUACAACAUAACUGCAUGGCACAUUUUCUGGAUGGUUACUUCUUAGUCUUAUUUUCAUCAUGGUUCUAUCAGCUAUUUUGGCAUUUCAAGGAUCUGAUAUUACUAUUGCUGGCAAAAAAUAUCAGGCUUUUUGCCUUUGUCAUCCUUUUUUUCUCUUCUGAAUGACCUGUGGGUCACAUCAAAAGCUUAAUGCUGAUAUAAAUCCAAACUUUGGAGCCAUCAUUGCAGCAUCUGACAGAAAGUACUUAUUGCUUGAAGUUGGUUUGUGAAAAAUUUGACAUGCAUGCUUUAGUUUUAUAAGGUGAUAUCAGUGGAUUAAAGAAUUUGACACGUGUUUAAUUAAGUGAAGUGAUAGUAGUUUUUCCAAGAAUCUGGCGGAUAGAAUGCUUCUUGGUCUUAUUUGCUUGGAGAGGAACUCUAGAGGCCCUGGAAAACGAUGUGAUGCACUGUAAGCAUCUUGGUUACUGGAAGAGGAUCUUUAGUAACAACAGGCCAGGUCAUUGAUCUCAGAUUUCAGUGAGUCAGAUAGCCUUUUUGACAGAAAAAUUGUGCUCUUCUUGGACAUACUGUGGGCUAUCAGUGCCAUCCCCUCUCCAUGUGGAAAAAAAAUCAUGUUUUGGAGGAACUAUAAUCCUGAUAACAAACAUAAUUCCUUGAAACAUCAGAUUCGUGUUUAAUGCAUCACAUUCUAUCAGUUAGAUGACAGCAGUUUUUCUUGGAACUGAUGACUUUUAAUUUUCUUCAGGGGUAUUCUGCAUUAUUAUGGAUGAAUACACAAGUGUAGUCAACAUGGAAGUAAUGAAAGCAUUAGUAAAACAUUGUAUAUGACUGUUGCAAGAUUUAGAGAUAUGUAUGUGUUGACCUCCAGCUUUCAUAUAUAAAUGAUGCUUAUGAUAUAGUGACAAUUUCCCACGCUUCCAUUUUAAAUGUACUUAGCCAUGUUGAUAUAUGUAACACAUUUUGCAGUAGUAUAGUUUUCUAGGUGUUCCUUAUUAUGAGUUCUCUAUAUUAAAAAAAUUAUAAAAUAUAUUUUACAUGUAUCAUUUAAAGGGAAGUUAUUAUCUUUGUUAUUAUAUAAUGAAAGUACUGACAGAAACUGGAGGUUUGCACAAACAGCUCUUUAAAUUUCAUGAACAAUGAUAACUUGUAUAACAUUUCAUUGAUGGAAAAAAGUGUGAGUGUACAUACAUGUAUGUGUGUGUGAGGGUGUGCAUGUAUGUGUGUGUGACUGUGUACAUGCGUGCAAAUGGAUCCUGAGAUGAUGCUUGCUAGUGAACAGAAGGGAAAAAAUUGUUUAGAAAUUUUGCAAGCUACCAUCUUGCAUAAAAGAAGAUAAAAAAAGAAAAAAAGAAAAAGGAACAAGAAAGAAAAAAAAAACUAAAAGAAAACAAAACAAAUGAAAAAGGCAUAAGAACAGCAAAAUAAAAAAAAAAAAGAAAAGAAAGAAAGAAAAAGAAGAGAGAAAAGAGAAGAAAUGAUACAAAAAGUCCACUCCAUGUUUGUAGCAUGCAAGAGAAAGUGUUUGUCCUUGUGCAUAGGUUGUGUAUGUACCUCAACAGAGCAUUUUAUUUACAUUAAAAGGUUGAAAAGCAUUGUGUCUGUUGUAAUUUUCUGUCUUGCUGUUUUCUUUUUUCAAGUGUUUGCUGUUGUCGUGGUUGCUUGGGAAUAUGUGAUUUAGAGAUAUUUUAAAAAAUAAUUAGGCUAAAAUUUUGAUUAAAAUAAAACUGUUUCACUCAAGUUGUAGGCAGAAAAUACAGAAUUAGAUUUGUGGCAACAAUCCUUCAGAAACAUAGCAAGUAGUUUUGUAAGAUCUGUAUGUAUAAACUAUAAUUCCGCAUACCCCUAUAUAAAUGAACUCAAAAAAAUAUGCAGUAUUUGACAUGACGGUUUAUACAUUUUAUUUUAAAUGAAUGCAAUCAGAUUUCUAGAUUAUAGAUUUUAUUUUCAAACAGUAACAAUGCAAACUAAUAACACUUACAAACAUUAAAUAAUGAUCUCAGUACAGUUGAUACGUAUGCUGCAAAAGCGCAUGUUUAACUAUUUGCAGAUCAUAUUUUCAUCACUAUAAUUAUUGGUUGAAAAAUCCAUAUUCUUUUAUUAUCGAACAUAUUGGUGCAUUCAUUUUGAAAGUUAGCCAAAAAACAAAUGUACAUUAACUGCUCACUACUAGUACAACAUGCUUAUGUGUUUAAGUUAAUUAUUGGCAGUCCAUUUUCUUAAGUUUUAAAUUAUAUUUUAAAAAUUGUGUUUACAAAUUAAUUAGGGAUCUAAUGAAUAAUUUGAUUCAAAUGGGACCACACCAAAAGAAGAAUGCUUGUAAAUGACUUCUCCCUAAAUAUUUUAAAAAGUAUAAAUUUGAGUGGAAUGUUUGUGUGUGUGUGAGAGAGAGUUUUUCCCUAUGACCAUCAGUAUAUAUUUUCAUCCUACCAUGUGGCAUUCUAUAAACAUAAUAUUGUGUCCAUGUAGAUUAUUAUUCUGUGUUUAUAUAUUUUUCCGGUCAAGCACUUUGAGCUCACCAUUAAUUGAUGGUAGGAUAAAGCACUCUAUAAAUUAACUUUAUUAUUAUUAUACUUUCAUCGCUCAUGCAUCCAUAUUAUUUCUAGUGACUGGUCACAUUAAAGUAGUAUUUAACCAAAUAGCUGUAAAGUUUUAAGCAAGUGUACCAUUAUAACCUGUUUAAAAGUAUGGGUGUGUUGGUUUGUAUAAAUAUAUCAUCCAUAUAAUGUAUUCUCUUGCCCUGACAUAGUCUUAGUUAUGGUGCAGCAUAUCCAAACAAUCAGCCAUUGUAUAAAUAAUAAUUUUCAUUAAAAUCUCCAUAUUUUCAUUUAUUUUUAGCUGAUCAAAAUACAGGACAAGCCAGGAAAAUUUAGUCUGUUUAGAAAAACCCAUAUAAAUAAAGUAAUAGAGAAGCUGCUGUUUCUAUGACUCCUUUUUUAUUCGCUUCACAUAUACAUACACACAUAUCUCCACUGAAGGAAACAAGUUGCAGAAGAAGCUUCUUUAUUAUUCAGUUUAUGUGGGUUGGCAUGUUUCUGUCUCAGUGAUUGAAACAUUAUAAAAAGAAAAAAAUCCCACCCUAAAGUUGUUAAGAUGGAUCAAUGUAGUUAUGUUCACUCAAGUUCUUUUUUCUUUAGAUCAUCAAUACUAUAUUUAUUUUUUCCAUGAAAUAUGCUUUUAUCCUUUAAGUAUAAAAUACUUUGGUACAUCAGAUAAUGUUAAUUUUCACAAUAUCGCAAUAGCAAAAAAUAGAUUUACUUUAGAACUUUUUUCAACCGUCAACAUAAGCAACAAUAAAAUCAAAGGAAGAUGUCAACAUUCUGAAAGGUUCAAUUUAAGACAUAAAUGGCCACUUAAGUAUAUAAAGGUGACUUUCAAAAUUUAGUUUAAACAACCCCCUGUUUACUAUUCUUUGCCCCAACUCAAUUUUGUACUGUGGUUUCUAUUUUCUGCAUUCAAGCUGGGUUUAAAACAAAUUCUACCAGUUUCUCAUAUAAUAGAUGUGAUGGUGGAUCAUACUCCUGCAAAUUUUAUCUUCUUGCAUUUUCUUUUUCUUACUUAACCUGUUCACUAAAUUUUGCCGUUGUACAUUUUUUACUUUUCAAACUUAUCUAAUUUUGUAACUGCACUUUUUUCAUCUUAGCAUUCAAAAUGUUCUUUAGUUUUUCUUGAGAACAAGAGAAAUCUUAAUGGACAAAAAACCUCUCACUUGUGUCAAAAAAACUUUGGUGAUUUUAGGAAACAAGGUAGAAGGCUGGCUUUCCAGCAUUGCAGAAGUUAAUAUCUUAACAGUAAGCAGUAAGAAAUACUGGACAGUGUUAUGCAAAUUAGUACACUGUUCAGAAUAAAAUAGCUCUAAUUUUAACCCUACUCCUAAACUCUAAACUGAUUUCAUUCCUUUUUAUAAUAGUAUUUGAUACUGUGCUUGCUGCUUAAGGUAAGUAAUUUCUGCUGGAUUGCAAAGCCCGCCUUCUAUAUUAAAUUGAGCUAGUUUAAAAUGCAUUGUUAAAACUUUACAGUAUGUUGCACAAAUCUAAUUAAGAUAAUAUAUUGAUAUUUUUUUGUUCACAUUGUCUUUUUGAGAUCACAUCACUAGGUGUUCAUUGAUGCAUGAUCUGGCAUGGAAUUCUGACAUACUUUGGGGAUAUGCACCUUCUUUCAAAAUGUACCUUACACUAAUUGUGAAUAGAUAGCUAUAUCCCUGUAGAUCUGUUUGGUGUUACCAGAAAAGAUUUCUAACAUCUUGUUGACAUCAGGCAUGAUCACUAGUAAUACAUUCAACAUGCAAAAUAUACAUGUAGCUUUGUUAGGCCAAUGUUCUCAAAACCCUAAUCCUGCUGCCUUCAAACAAAAGUAAAAUCAACUAUCAUAUCCUUGAAAAUAUGGGUAAGAAAUGCUGUAGCAUGUGAAAGUAUUGCUUUUUAUACGUAGACUUGCAGUUUCCUCCUAUGUGUAGUCUUCCACCAUAAUAAAAACUGUCAUGGGUGAUUUAGAGUUGUAAAGUUGCAAUCUACCUUACUGCAAGUGAUUCUAUUUAGACUACAUUGCUAGUGUCAGUUGUAUGUUCUGCUAUUCUUCAGCAUGCAUUUCUUCCUCUUGGUUCUUUGGUGCUUCAUAAUACCAUUUAGCCUCUGAUUUUCUUUUGGGUUACUGUGGUUCUUUGAAGGUUGCUAAAUGUCUAAAGAUCAUGUUACACAAAACUCUUUGAAUACUUGAGAAGUCCUCAGUACAAAACAUGCAUGUCCUCUGCUUGCUGGAUAAACACAUUUGUGUGUGUGUAUGUGUGAGAAAAAAAGGUGAAGGUGGUGAAAAGGCAUUACUAGUUUGAUUUUUAUCUUAGCAUAAAUAUUAAAAAAUUUAUUAAAAAGCAGGAGAUAUGGAUUGUCCUUGUCUUCACCUGUCAAGCGUCACGCCUUCUCUGCUGUCUUCUUAUAUUGCCGUAAGCAAGUAUGCAAGAUGUUCUAGUCUCCAGGUGUUUGAACAACCAGUGUGCAACUGUCCAAAAUCUGGUAAUAUGUUUAUACUUAGCCACUUCAGUGAAAUCUUUGUAAAAUGAAACUACCAACAUGGCGGUGCAGAUUGAUGAUAUCAGUUAUGUCUAUGACAUUCUGAAUAGUACUUAAUUCAUUGAUAUUAGGAAAUUGGUUUUUAUUUAAAUAUUUUAGAGACUUUUUAAUUGCUAGCUUUCCUUCAUACAUGUUGUUACAGAAGGUUAGUAAAAUGUUCUUGCUAAAAAUAAAGUACAAUCCUUUGCAGGCAAAAGAUCCUGUAAGAGUAUGCCCGCUCUGCACAAGAAUGGCAUUAGCAGAAGAAGCCUUCACAUCCAGCGUUUUAGCUUGUUGAGCAAAGUCUCUAAUUUGAAAAAAAUGAGACUUGCUCUAAAAAAGGUGGGACUGUAUAUCUCACUUUUGAAAUAUCUGAAGAUUCCUGUUUGGCAGAUCAGCAUAGGAACAGUCCAAAACCUGAUGCAGCUAAUCGUAAUCUGAAAAUCAUGGAUGGCUUUAUCCAUGAUGCUUUUGAAAGUGCUGCACUUGGAAGUUGUGUCCUGAGGUCAGGAAGGGCAGAUUAUGUUGUAAACAGUGACACUGGAUUAAGACAACUGCAAGAGAACAUCCAAGAUGUUGAUGAGAUCGACGAUGGUGGCAGUAUUCAAAAUGGUGGUGAUUCCAACAAUGCCCUUAGUAAUAUUUCUCUUGUAGCAGAUAGAAAUAUUGUGCUUACAAGAAAUGGACUUCAUGUUGGUGAACGUUUUACUGGAAUGGUGACAAAAAAGACUCUUUCAUGAAUGUUUCUCCUAAAAGAAUGCAGGCUAAUGUCACUUUAGAGAUUGAGACUGACACUGAAGCUUUCACAUUAAAACAAAACGACGCAAGUGCUGUUGUGGAGGAAGGUCCCACAGAUGAGGCAGCAAACCAUUUAGAGUUAUUUUUUUCUAAUCCUCUUCAUAUCCCGGCAGCAGAAGGAGCCUCUGCUGAAAACACCCACUCUGUGGACUGUGUGCUUUCUCAGCCCCCAUCGCUAGAUGAGGAUGUGUCUUCAGGUGAACUACAUGCUGCUAAUGAUUCAUCGCUAAUUUUCCUUUAUUCAUUUAGAUACUGUUUCACAGGAGGAAGUCCUUUCGCAGGAUAGAGAUCACUUCGAGAAUCCUCUCCUGCUAGAGCCAGUGUCAGAUUCUGAUGAGGUGUCAUUGGCUUAUUUAGCUGAAUUGUCUGUGGAAUUGAGAAACUUUACAGACAGAGCUCAUGAAGAUUAUAUAGAUCCAGAAAGAGGUGAAAAUAGAACACUUGGCUAUGGAUCAAUGCUUCAUGUGAGGGAAGGCAACAUUUUAGUUAAUGAGGAAUUGGACUCUGUAGAAUACAUGGAUAUAAGCAUAAGGCAUUAUGCUGAUCCAUUCAAUGUUCUGCUGAUGUAGUAGCUAUAAGGCAAGGUUACACUUUAGUCCAUGUUGAGGAAUCUGAUUCUAAUGAAUGUACAGAUAUAAAUAUUCGAUAAAUAAUGUAAAAGUGAAUCAAUUAAAUAUUUAUAAAAUAUAAAUAGAAACUAAAAGAAAAAACACGUACAAUUAGCUUUUGUUAUAAUAUUUAAAAACAAUUUUUUAAAGCAAAGUUUGUCACAUUUUUUGGUUUGUGCCUAUUUUAAUUAGUUUAAACUGGCAGUUUUUGCUAGUCACGCUGUAAUGUUAGGGAGGUUUUUGGCUUAAUGUAAUAACAAAUUGAUUAUAUACACAUAGUAAAUAUAAAUAAUAAAAAUAUCUGUACAACACGGCUGCUAACUACCCUUUUAGCAGAGUAAGAGCAAAUACACUAGCAAUGUUUCCCACAAAAAUUUUGUUUUGUGCCUAGUGCAUGCAAAGGGAAAGUUUUUUGUUUUUCAACUAUUGUGUACAUUGAAAUAGGAUAAAUUCUUUUUAUUUUUGUAUAGAGAAUCCAUGAUAGAUACAUAACAAUAUACCAUCAAAUAACACUUAAGUCUCUAAAACAAAAUUAAGCAGUAGCUUGGUUACCACAAUAAAAAAAAAAAAAAUGUACAAUUUUAUUAAUAUUUAUUUCUGGACCUCUUUUAGUUUUGUUGAAUUAUGUUAAAUACCCAAAGGCCUUAUGAAUAACGUACUAUGUUUUGCCAAACGUGGACAAGACAGUACAGAAAAACAACAUAGUUUUAAGUUUGUGUAAUUUGAACACA